rnacentral:rRNA from 1 species
UACGUAGGGUGCGAGCGUUAAUCGGAAUUACUGGGCGUAAAGCGUGCGCAGGCGGUUCGUUGUGUCGGUGGUGAAAACCCCGGGCUUAACCUGGGAAUGGCCAUGGAAACUGGCGAGCUGGAGUGUGGCAGAGGGGGGUGGAAUUCCGCGUGUAGCAGUGAAAUGCGUAGAGAUGCGGAGGAACACCGAUGGCGAAGGCAGCCCCCUGGGCUAGCACUGACGCUCAGGCACGAAAGCGUGGGGAGCAAACAGG